AUUGAACGCUGGCGGCAUGCCUUACACAUGCAAGUCGAACGGCCGCGGGGGAGAAGCUUGCUUUUCCUGCCGGCGAGUGGCGAACGGGUGAGUAAUACAUCGGAACGUGCCCUGUAGUGGGGGAUAACUAGUCGAAAGAUUAGCUAAUACCGCAUACGACCUGAGGGUGAAAGCGUGGGACAGCAAGGCCUCAUGCCACUGGACCGGCCGAUGUCUGAUUAGCUAGUUGGUGGGGUAAAGGCCUACCAAGGCGACGAUCAGUAGCUGGUCUGAGAGGACGAUCAGCCACACUGGGACUGAGACACGGCCCAGACUCCUACGGGAGGCAGCAGUGGGGAAUUUUGGACAAUGGGCGAAAGCCUGAUCCAGCAAUGCCGCGUGUGUGAAGAAGGCCUUCGGGUUGUAAAGCACUUUUGUCCGGAAAGAAAUGGCUCUGGUUAAUACCUGGGGUCGAUGACGGUACCGGAAGAAUAAGGACCGGCUAACUACGUGCCAGCCGCCGCAGUAA
rnacentral:rRNA from 1 species